rnacentral:rRNA from 1 species
AGACAGGUGCUGCAUGGCUGUCGUCAGCUCGUGUCGUGAGAUGUUGGGUUAAGUCCCGCAACGAGCGCAACCCUUGCCUUUAGUUGCCAGCAGUUCGGCUGGGCACUCUAAAGGGACUGCCGGUGUUAAACCGGAGGAAGUGGGGAUGACGUCAAGUCCUCAUGGCCUUUAUGACCAGGGCUACACACGUACUACAAUGGCCGAUACAAAGGGCAGCGACACUGCGAGGUGAAGCCAAUCCCGUAAAAUCGGUCUCAGUCCGGAUUGGAGUCUGCAACUCGACUCCAUGAAGUUGGAAUCGCUAGUAAUCGUGGAUCAGCAUGCCACGGUGAAUGCGUUCCCGGGCCUU